rnacentral:rRNA from 1 species
ACGAACGCUGGCGGCGUGCUUCACCCAUGCCAGUCGAACGGAAAGGCCUGUCCUUCCUUGUGUUGGACGGGUACUCGAGUGGCGAACGGGUGAGUAACACGUGAGUGAUCUGCCCCCAACUUGGGUAUAAGCCUGGGAAACUGGGUCUAAUUCCCGAUAGGACUGCAGGGUGGUGCCUGUGGUGGAAAACGAUUUUCUAGUGGUUGGGGAUGAGCUCGCGGCCUAUCAGCUUGUUGGUGGGGUAAUGGCCUACCAAGGCGGCGACGGGUAGCCGGCCUGAGAGGGUGGACGGACACAUUGGGACUGAGAUACGGCCCAGACUCCUACGGGAGGCAGCAGUGGGGAAUAUUGCACAAUGGGCGGAAGCCUGAUGCAGCGACGCCGCGUGGGGGAUGACGGCCUUCGGGUGGUAAACUCCUUUCGACCGCGAGGAAGCCGCCUGGUUGGAAGGGUGGUGACGGUAGUGGUAGAAGAAGCACCGGCUAACUACGUG